UACGUAGGUCCCGAGCGUUGUCCGGAUUUAUUGGGCGUAAAGCGAGCGCAGGCGGUUUGAUAAGUCUGAAGUUAAAGGCUGUGGCUCAACCAUAGUUCGCUUUGGAAACUGUCAAACUUGAGUGCAGAAGGGGAGAGUGGAAUUCCAUGUGUAGCGGUGAAAUGCGUAGAUAUAUGGAGGAACACCGGUGGCGAAAGCGGCUCUCUGGUCUGUAACUGACGCUGAGGCUCGAAAGCGUGGGGAGCGAACAGGAUUAGAAACCCUGUAGUCC
rnacentral:rRNA from 1 species